AAUUAGGCUGUUUUCAAAGCCACAACUUAGUCAACAACAAUAUAUGU
rfam:Anisakis simplex genome assembly, scaffold: ASIM_scaffold0000037